rnacentral:rRNA from 1 species
AACGAACGCUGGCGGCAUGCCUAACACAUGCAAGUCGAACGAUUGCCUUCGGGUGAUAGUGGCGCACGGGUGCGUAACGCGUGGUAAUCUGCCCUUAGGUUCGGAAUAACAGCUGGAAACGGCUGCUAAUACCGGAUGAUAUCGCGAGAUCAAAGAUUUAUCGCCUGAGGAUGAGCCCGCGUUGGAUUAGGUAGUUGUUGGGGUAAAGUCCUACCAAGCCGACGAUCCAUAGCUGGUCUGAGAGGAUGAUCAGCCACACUGGGGCUGAGACACGGCCCAGAAUCCUACGGGAGGCAGCAGUGGGGAAUAUUGGAACAUGGGCGCAAGCAUGAUCCAGCAAUGCCGCGUGAGUGAUGAAGGCCCGAGGGUUGUAAAGCUCUUUUACCCGGGAAGAUAAUGACUGUACCGGGAGAAUAAGCCCCGGCUAACUCCGUG